GUUUCCUUCCUUCCUUGCUCGAGAGAUUUCUCCCUCCCGUUGUCGCCUGUCACCCUCGGCGAGUGCACUUCCAAAGACGCUGCACAUUGAUGGAAUCCUUGUCCUUUUCCUGCUUGUCUUGCUCAUCAAGACCGAAAUAAAGAUAAAAGCAGCAAAGUGGAUGAUCUCAUAGCACAGUACAGAACAGGGAGAAAGAGCGAGGGAGUGGCGCAUGUGGAGUGAUUUGCACGUUUGUUUUCUUAUGCUAAGUUGGGGAGGGGGAGCGUUAGAGCGUUGUAUGAUUCCGGUAUGGUUUGGUCAUGAAGCAGAAAGCAUGACGCGCAGUAGUGAUACAUGGGGCCGAAGACGAUGAUGUGUGAGGUGACCUGCUGUAUUUUUGGACCGAUUGGAGUUGGCUUUACUCGUAAUGGGACAUUUGAGAGUUCGGUGUAGAGGUAUUUGUCGUUCUGGAUGGCUUAGUGUCGAUGGUUUUGGGAUGAGUUGUAUCUCCGGGGGAAUACUGAUUCGUUAUGCUGUCGCCAACAAUGUUGUAAGCGUGCUUGUUAGGAUUUUGAAAUUCCGUACUACCUGUGUGUGGGAAGAGAGCAGUAAUCACCGGUAUGGAAUUUCAACUUUCUAUUUGCACCUUUCGUUUAUGAUUGCGUUACUGGAUCACACUCUCCAUUCUCCGCUGGUCACCUCCCACUCGAUGAUUAUGUAGAGUUUGUCCAUUCUUUGGAAAUUUUGAAGUCAUUCUGCAAUGUGGAGAGGAGCAGAGCAAUGAAUGGACAAACGUGCUCAUCAAGUUACUACAGGCAACGCUCUUAUGAUGGAAGACUCAUCUACAUCCCCUAGAAAAGUUCAAACUGGUUCAAUUGAUGAAGGAAAAGUUUAAACCAAGAACCAACCCUUUUUGGGAAAGAAGACAGAAAUGGUUUGGAGUUAUCCUCACGUUUGAAGUCAGCAUUGAAAUGAGGGCCCGGUGAAGAGAACAAGACCUGGCAAGGGUUUGCAACAAUAUCGACUGUGGAUCCGUGCAGGGAACUAGAAGCUACUUUAGAUCCUCCAAUCCAAUGGAAGGUCGUCAUGAACCUCAGGGACAUUUGGACGCUAGCAUCAUGAUGUCGUACAAUUGGAAGAUUCGCUUUGCUGCUGCCUAAUUUUCCUGCUAGACAAUGAAAGAUAUCUCAAAGAAUCCUCUUUUGAACCAGGUGAGAGUGUGUGGCGUCAACCUGUUCUCCCUGCAUUCAAUGUACACAACUAAAGGUGUUUGUGCAAAAGCAGGGUUAUUGUGACCCGAAUAACCUGAGACUAUAACAGAAAUGUAAGUUCGUGGUCAGUCUGUAUGGCAAUUAGCAGCGAAAGCCCGCUCCUACUUUCGAUGAGGCCCCCAGUCACCCUGUACUCAGAACAUAUACAUAUCCCAGUCUUUAAUGUGUUCCUGGUGCUUUUCCUUGCAAGUGGAGUUGGGAUUCGAAACCUAGUUUCUGGUUGCAUCGCGAACAAGGCAGGCAUUGAGAGUUUCAGUCUUCUAACACAGGUUUGUCAACUUCGUUGUCAGCAUGUAGAACACAUAGUAUAACCUUUCUAAUUUUCACUUGUAGUAGAAACUAUCUAGACACAAUAAAAGCUUAUUGGCUCAGAAUGUGAAAUAUACGUACUCACGUGUAAGCUUUUCUAGUCCAUCUCGUAACAGUCUUACAAUUCAAUGAUUCUUUUGUGGGAUUGGUACACUACCAUUUGACGAUAGGAGGUAUCAAGCGGUGUGAAAUCCAGAAUCCAGUUUGACUGGACCGCCUGUGAUUGUGCAUUGCAUCGUGCAAUGUUGGCUGUAAGCAAAAAAUUUAAUGGCUGCUACUAACCAUGGUUCUUUUAA